UGAGGAAUAUUGGGCAAUGCCCGCAAGGGUGACCCAGCAACGCCGCGUGGAGGAUGAAUGUCGUAAGAUUGUAAACUCCUGUUAGAGGGGAAGAAUAGUACCGGUUGGACCGGUAUAUGACUGUACCCUCAGAGAAAGCCCCGGCUAACUACGUGCCAGCAGCCGCGGUAAUACGUAGGGGGCAAGCGUUGUCCAGAUUUACUGGGUGUAAAGGGCGCGCAGGCGGGAUAAAAAGUCAGUGGUGAAAUCCUACAGCUUAACUGUAGAACUGCCUUGGAUACUUUCAUUCUUGAGUUCGGGAGAGAGAGACGGAAUUCCAGGUGUAGUGGUGAAAUACGUAGAUAUCUGGAAGAACACCAGUUGCGAAGGCGGUCUCUUGGUCCGAUACUGACGCUGAGGCGCGAAAGCGUGGGGAGCAAACA
rnacentral:rRNA from 1 species